rnacentral:misc_RNA from 1 species
UACAAGCUUGUUGCCCUUGCCUGUAUUUAUUAGAUUGACAAGCUUGCUCCGUUGCAUGCUUUAGGUAUUUUGCCUAUUUUGAUCAGUUUGGAUGUUAUUUGCCUUGUCCUGGUUGCACUUUGAAACCUGGAAAUGGGUCUACCUUGCAGUGCAGAGGCAUGCUGGUGAGUGGAUUGCAGUGAAGGGAGCUGCCUGUCCUUGCUUCAAGUAAAA